UACGAAGGGGGCUAGCGUUGUUCGGAAUUACUGGGCGUAAAGCGCAUGUAGGCGGGUCGUUAAGUCGGGGGUGAAAGCCCAGAGCUCAACUCUGGAACUGCCUUCGAUACUGGCGACCUGGACCCAAGGAGAGGCGAGUGGAAUUGCGAGUGUAGAGGUGAAAUUCGUAGAUAUUCGCAGGAACACCAGUGGCGAAGGCGACUCGCUGGACUUGUGGUGACGCUGAGAUGCGAAAGCGUGGGGAGCAAACAGGAUUAGAACCGACGG
rnacentral:rRNA from 1 species